rnacentral:rRNA from 1 species
GACGAACGCUGGCGGCGUGCUUAACACAUGCAAGUCGAACGGAAAGUCCCUGCUUUUGUGGGGUGCUCGAGUGGCGAACGGGUGAGUAACACGUGAGUAACCUGCCCUUGACUUUGGGAUAACUUCAGGAAACUGGGGCUAAUACCGGAUAGGAGCUCCUGCUGCAUGGUGGGGUUGGAAAGUUUCGGCGGUUGGGGAUGGACUCGCGGCUUAUCAGCUUGUUGGUGGGGUAGUGGCUUACCAAGGCUUUGACGGGUAGCCGGCCUGAGAGGGUGACCGGCCACAUUGGGACUGAGAUACGGCCCAGACUCCUACGGGAGGCAGCAGUGGGGAAUAUUGCACAAUGGGCGGAAGCCUGAUGCAGCAACGCCGCGUGCGGGAUGACGGCCUUCGGGUUGUAAACCGCUUUCGCCUGUGACGAAGCGUGAGUGACGGUAAUGGGUAAAGAAGCACCGGCUAACUACGUG